GAAAAACUGUCAGGAAAUGCAUUGAGGUGGGAGGGGGGAACAAAUCUGCUUUCCCUCUUCUAGCCCUUUCCUCAAGUUGUUCAGAAAAGAUAGAAGUAGGGAAGAAGGAAAAAGCCUUAGCGGCCACUGCUUGUGAGAAGUGGUGCCUCUGGAAUCAGAGAGAGCGCGCCCCAGCCAGGCGGCUCUCUCCUGCGGGAGGCGCUUGGUUUGCAAGGGGUUAACAGCGUUGCUCGUGAACUUGGCCUGUCUGUCUGGCUCGUGAUGGAUGGUGAGACCCGCUGACAAGUUCAGCCGGAGGGACCUCCCCUGCUGUGGCGGCGGGAGAAACACGCAGGCGGAAGGGACCCGGGGCGAGCGGUCGGGACGCUCGGGGAAGACUGUAGUUUGGCGUGGCAGGGCGACCGAAAAGGCGAGCUGCUCUGCCUGCCCUCUCGGCUCCCGCCUCCCCUUGACCGCUCGCUUCCUCCGCUGGAGCUUUCCUAUACCGUCCUGGAACACCGAAGUUUCCCGGAGCUUCGCGCGCUACUCCCCUGCAGGCGCCUCCCUCCUCUUCUCGGGCACGAACUUGCCGUCAGCAACCGUUCGUAGGAGGGCGUGCGGGUGGAAAGGACACAUUCCGGAAUCAGAAGACAGGGAACGAAGAAGUGGGAGCCCCGGUGGAAGAUUCCGAAGCUGGGAAGGAGGAGAAAAUGAAACGUUGCCCGAAGACAAUGGCCGAGACAGCAGGUCCCACCCUGCACGGCCUGCCAGCACCUCUCCCCCCAGCCCCGUCUCCUCCUCUGCAGCUUGGAUCUGUACGUUAACAUUGCUCGUCUGCAGUAAGAAAUAAAAAGAACCCCCCCCUCGGAACCAAUCUAUAAAAACAACGUGUCUGGCCGUGAACAUGCAGGGGCGGCUAUAGACUGUCAGAGGUGGAGGUUUGAGCCAGACUUUGCUGACUGCUGGCCCGAUGGAUACAAGGGCCCCUCAUCCAUUCUUGGGGCCCCCACCUCUGAGUCCUAGGACUUCUCCCCAGCUGCCAGCCAGGCGGGGGAGGGGAGAGGGGCCCAAGCAGCUGCAGGGGCUGUGUUAGUAAACACUUUCCUGGGUUCCCAUUUUCCUCACCACCCCCUACCCUUCUCCACUCCUGAUGCCCCGUUACACACCACCCCCCCCCCCAACCCCAGCAUCCCCUUUUCUGUGGCCUGCACAAUGAGCUCAUUGUCCUGGGUGUGAUUUGAAUAAGGGAUCGGCGGGCCCGUUCCCAGCAUUGUCCGAGGGGCUGGGAAAAACCCCAGCACAGGCAGGAGGACCAGGCCAGACAGAGACAGAUGCCUAAAUUAGCAACAAAGCUUUGUGCACGUCCCCUGGACAAGGGCUCGCCUUGUUUGCGUGGACUCGAGGGUGUGGAGCUGGCCGGCUGCUCGCAUGUCUCCCCAUGUUAAUUAGUUUUGCAUGCAUGUCUGAGAAGGUGCCAGGGGGGAUGUGUUUGCCUUUCCCCGGGAGGGGGACCUGUUUGUGGCGGUGGAGCUGAGCUGGGCCGGGCCUACCUGGGGAGCCAGGCUCUGAGCCUGGGUGGGAAUUUCGGCGUCCUCAUCCUGCUUUUCUGUCUCUCUGCCCUUUGGGGGGCCUGGCUCUGCUCCCUGUAUCCCCCGCCCCCUCUGUUCUUACCCUAGCACGUCUGAAAGUUGGUUAGCUCUGACUACAGGGAACUCACUGGCUUCCACCCAGACCCAAGCCAGUGCCUGUCCAUCUGGCAGUCUGUCUCUCGUGACACAGGGCCCCCCGGGACGGGCAGCAGAAGCGGCCAGUCUGGGCUCUCCUCCGUCCCCGAGCCAGAUGGCCAGUCU
rnacentral:lncRNA from 1 species